AUGGCUGUCAUUGAGACGACGUGUUCUGGACUGUGUGUGUGUGUGUGUGUGUGUGUCUGUGUGUGUCUGUCUGUCUGUCUGUCUGUCUGUCUGUCUGUCUGUCUGUCUGUCUGUCUGUCUGUGUCUGUCUGUCUGUCUGUCUGUCUGUCUGUCUGUCUGUCUGUCUGUCUGUCUGUCUGUCUGUCUGUCUGUCUGUCUGUGGCCCAGCGCCCGUCAGUCACAGACCAGACCGUGUUCUAUGAGUCAGCCGCCCAGCAGACUGUUCCCUUGAGAACCGACAAGAUGUCCGAUAUCCUGGAGGAGGAGCCAGAAGAGGAGGUGAGUGAUAGCUCCCAUCCCGCCAUUGUUCCACUGAAGGACGCUCCACCAAUCACAGAGCAGGAAAACGUCCCGAGUCCCGCCCCCAACUACAUCACCAUCCACUACUCCAGAGUACCCAGUGUGGACCAGGUGGAAGUCCCCAAGCUGCCUCAGGGUAGAAGCAAAGAACCAAAGGAUUCUUCUAACGUUGUUUACAACCUGCUGUCGCAGCAACGCCGCUAGACACAGCAGUCAGAAGAACCAAUCCAAGGGUAACCCAUCACCUGUGCUCGGACAACACAUAAUUCACUCCCGUUUUCCCAAGACCAGAGAGGAUUGUGGGAUACAAAAUAUAACAUUAUAUGUGAAGGCUUUCCUAACUUAGCUGAAGCAUAUUGAACUUGAAACACAAGAUAACCCAGCCUUUAUUGGACCAUGUGGUCAACGUAGGGCGUUCUGUCUCUAGAGGAUAAUUUAUGUUACUACGCUUUUGUCUUCUAUCUUUAAACCUUUAUGCUGAAGUGAAAAAAGUAUUUAAAAUACAUGUUCAACAAACAAACAUCAUCCUAUGUGUUUUUGCUAGCACUCCUGCAGAGGGAAAACAGAUGACAACAACUAAUUUGCAUAAUUGAUGUCUUUGUUCGAAUUUGGUAUGCAAUUCUAAAUUAAUGUUGGUAUAACUGAAUUUGCUUGAUUGAUGAAACAGCGAUAACAGUCAUUUAAGUUGACAUUUUCCGUCUUUAACGCUAAAAAUUACAAAACCUGAUAAAUGAGAAACCAUAAAUUUGCUUCACCGAUCAUUGUGUUGAUCAAUAUUUAAAGCAAUUAAAAAUAUUUUUGCUUGGUUGGGUAUUAUCUUUCGACAUGGACAAAAAUAAACACAGACAUAAAUGAUUGCUAGUUAGCCGUCAUUUAUUGCAGCUAACCGCGUUUACAACAGAAUUAAACCCAAUAAACCACCAAUGUGUGCAGGGUCCGGGAGGGUAAAUCGGGUUUCUAGCUCAAGGAGGCAAUUUACCUCGGGGAGUGUAAACGUGCGGACCGUGUCGCGAAAAAGGCGUGCAUAAAACGGACUAUUUGGCAGUGUAAAAACGCUCAGUAAGAGAGGGCUGUAUCUGAGUAGAACGGCUCCAAAUGAGCAACAAAGUCAGUAUUAAAGUGUCAACUGUGUUCUCUGUGUUCUACUAAGCAGCGGACACUUGGUGGUGACGUAUUACGACCUGAUGACGUAUGUACGAGAGGCAACCGUACUCAGGCCCAGUUGCAGCACAGGCCAGCGCACAGCAGGGCGGGGGCGCAAUCGUACUUGAGCACGUUACAGGAGUGGAACGGACUUGGGCACGGUACAGAUGACCUAGUGUGAGUGCGCCCUGAGACGACUCGUCCUUUCCAUAUCACAGGGCGGCAGCGCCACUUUGUGGAUUAACAGGGCUAUAACACCACCGGGGCAGAUUGAGAUGAGCGUCAAUGAGAACACAUAAACAACUGUCAUAUAAUAACUGCAUCUAAAGGCACCUAAUAACAUAGAUAUAAAGAGCGAGAGUAAAUCAUGUGAAAGCAAGUUUUGUCGAUGAACAAAGUGCUGAUAAGAAGAAGUAAGAGCCAAAUCCCCCACUUAGGACAACAAAAUGUCCAGAGCCACAUACAAACAUCAACGUUAAAUUAAUGAAGAUAUAAUAAUUUUAGGGAAGUGGAUUUUUGAGUGGAGUUUCCCCUUGCUGGUAAAAAACGUACAAUUGGCUUAAUGUGUGACAUAAUUUCCUCUGGUUUCCCUGAAGGACAUUUUGUAGGCUAGUUUCAAUACCGGGUGGUUAAAGAAAAUGACUCGCACAAUUCUAGGGAUUUUACUCAUCAUUCAAGGUAUAGUCCAUCUUUUUAAAAUUAUUUAUUGUUUAUGGGCUCAGCCUUAGUUUGUUAAAAUGUAUUUAGCAUUUCUCUGUGCAGCAUCUGCUCGUAACGUUCAUUUUCUGACUUCAAUUCUGUCUGAUCUUCUUACUGGUGACCAAAGGGAUUACAUUUAGAAUGGUUAUUACAUCAUUUAUACAAGGUGCUAGGUUACUUUCUAAAGUCAUUUAAAGGAAACCUCAUGUUGUCUCAUGUUUUUCUCCUUCCUCUAAAAGGCGUGUGGAGCAGAGACUGGGCUGUUAAGUACCAAAGCCAGUGCGCUUUUAAAGGGACAUCAGUAACAAUCCCAUGCUCUUAUAGCCAUCCACCCGGUCAUAGGGUACCUUUGGUCACCUGGUACAGAGGAAAGAUAAGACCUGGCGGGUGGACUGGAUAUCCCUUCAUCAACUCCCACUCAAUGAAAGGACAUUUUCAAUACCUGGGUGACACAUCUGGUUCGUGCACAUUGAGGAUCAACAGGCUGCUUGACUCUGACCAAGCAGGGUACUUUGUUACAUUAAAGACAGAUGAUGAUAAGUUCACCGCCCCAUAUAUUAGUUUGACCGUUCAAGGUAGGCUACAUACUGCUUGCUGUUGGUAUUUUAUAAAUGAUAUGUUAUUUUAUGUUGCUUUUGUUAAAUAGCAGGCCUGCACCUUCUGUUCCUCCACUAGACCCAGGGAUCACUGCCGUUGUACCGACCGUUGUUAAAGAGAGGGACAUGGUGAGUCUGAUCUGCAAGACAAAAUGUAUUGGCUAUCCAACAGCCAACAUGGUAGUGUGGUCACGAGAUAGAAAAGCAGUGGCCAGUCCAACGUUCCGGGCCGGGCUGGACGAUGCAGGGAGUUACCAGUGUGCCUGGGAGGGACUGCAGUCCAACACAGUAACCCUCGAUGUUCAAUGUGAGUUGAGGAGGAUCCCUAUACAUACAGAAGGUCUUUGUAUAAGGGACAAUUUCUUCAUGAUUGCAUUGAAGGUGAAAAUUAUAUUUGUUUAAUUUAUCCUAUGCUUUUAUCCAAAGAAAUGUCCAAAUGUCAUUAUUGGGGCAAUCAAAAAUAGUCAGUUACUUACCAAUGAUGACUUUAAUUUGAAACCUAUGAUUGUUUUCCUGACCAGUCUUUCCACGGAACACAACGGUGUGGGUCGAACCCCAAGGAGAGCUGUUGAAAGGCAAUAGCGUGAACCUGACCUGCAGCAGUGCUGCCAACCCACCCGUACACAACUACACCUGGUGGUGGUACAGUGGUACUGAACCACCCCCCGCCAGCUCCAUGCUGGACCUCAUCGGAACGGGACAGGUGUUGCACCUGGCCUCUCUGGUGACCUCUCAGACAGGAUAUUACCUCUGCCAGGCUACGAAUACUCUGGGGGAGAGCAACUCCUCUGCACUGCUGCAGAUUGAGGGAACCACACUGGGUUUGUAUGUUUAUAUGUAGAGAGAAAGAGAGAGAGAGAGAGAGAGAGAGAGAGAGAGAGAGAGAGAGAGAGAGAGAGGUCCUUCCGAUAGAGGGACAUCUGAUUCGGUGUAGACGACCAAACCUCAACAAAGUAGGCCGAUAAAAUUGCGCACACUAAAAUAAACAUUGUGUAGCAUUAUGCAUGAUUGACAAUAUUAAAUCCUAUCAACUGCUAGAUUAAGUUGAUGGUCUGCCUCUUAACGAGCCCCUGGCCCAUAAUCCCACCCUACAAAUGACUAGCCUUGCUUACCAUUGUUAAUUUCUAACUAUCUUUCUCCAGGCAGAGAAUCUGUGUUCAUCUUAUCUGGAGUAGGAGUCACAGUCUUCGUUGCCCUCACUGUGCUGGUUUGCCUUUGGUCAUGGUGAGUCAAGGAGACGAAAGAAGAAAGAAUAAACAGUUAAUGGUGAGAUUGAAGGAACAGAAUAGUGGACAGGCUAAACGCUGCUUAUUACAAUGGUGGCUACUGUGUAGGGCCGAGGGAAAGGACUUGGCAGGUAGACAAAUGCAACUCCAAUAACGUGUUAUAGCAUCACUGAUGGUGAUAGUACUGCAUUCCAAUGUGCAAUAGUUGCUUGCCCGUUAUUUAACUGAACCUAAAUUAAAAUGAUUUCUCUGAGGCAUUUUAUAUUUUCAUGACAUGCUGAAACCACCAUUCACUAAAUAUUCUGUGUGGAUUACUGCGUUGUCUUUUUCUCAACAUUUGAACAGGAAACAACAAAAGACCAAGGAAAACCAACACGUGAGUGCAUAUCAAGUGUAACGUUUUAUUUGUAGACCCAAAAAUCACAAUUUAUCUUAUCAAUCUAAGUCCAAUGGAAGACGUGCCCCAUUUUGAGUGGGGCUUUAUUUUUGUUUUAAUAAUUCUUCUUGCAAUCAUGUUGCUGAAGGCGGGGAUCUGUAAGAGAGCAAUUUACUAAUAACACCGAACACAAACUCGGCCAUCAGGAGUAAAUUGUAAAAAAAAAAGUGUCUGUAAAGGUUUGAAAUGAACGCUGUGUAGCCUGGCGACUGUUAAUUCACUUCCCUCUCCUCAUCCACUCACCCAAUUCUGUUUCUCUUUGGUAGACUAUCUCUGUUACAAAACAGGAAAAAAGGCGUUUUUUUUAAAUGGUAGGUUACAAAUAACACAUACUGUGAAACAAACAUUUGAUAGAUUGAGACAUUUCCCCUGCCCAGAGCGUGGCUGCCAGAAGCCCCAGUGGGAGGAGUCUCACCUCUUCAACCAAUCCCGACCCAGACUCCAUGUAUGCCAACGUACACAUCUCUUCAUUACCCAGUCGGUCACUGACUCCUCCCCAGGUUCGCGAUGACGUCCACACGCAUGACUCAGCACAGGUAGUUCUGUUAUCUUCUCCAGCACUAUAAACAACUCUACUUCAUUGCUCAUUUUCACUCUCACUCUAUAGACCCUUUUCAAAGAGGCAGCCAAAGUUUUAAAUCAUAACACUAACUACUUUUAUGUACCAGACUUAUCUUUACUAGAGCAGCCUGCGCCCUGAUACAGAACAGGGACCAUCAUUAGUGUUAUGAGUGACACCUGUUUGUCAUGAAUUGAUACCACAGAUAUCUAAAGACAUUUGAUCUUCUAUUUUCCUCAGGGAGGUGAAAUUGCCUAUUCCACCCUUGGCAAUUUUGGUGGAACCAGACCUGUAAAUCCCGGAGACACAAAGCAGCAGCCAUUCCA
ensembl:lncRNA